rnacentral:rRNA from 1 species
GAUGAACGCUGGCGGCGUGCCUAAUACAUGCAAGUCGAGCGAAUGGAUUAAGAGCUUGCUCUUAUGAAGUUAGCGGCGGACGGGUGAGUAACACGUGGGUAACCUGCCCAUAAGACUGGGAUAACUCCGGGAAACCGGGGCUAAUACCGGAUAACAUUUUGAACCGCAUGGUUCGAAAUUGUAAGGCGGCUUCCGCUGUCACUUAUGGAUGGACCCGCGUCGCAUUAGCUAGUUGGUGAGGUAACGGCUCACCAAGGCAACGAUGCGUAGCCGACCUGAGAGGGUUAGCGGCCACACGGGGACUGAGACACGGCCCAGACUCCUACGGGAGGCAGCAGUAAGGAAUCUUCCGCAAUGGACGACAGUCUGACGGAGCAACGCCGCGUGAGUGAUGAAGGCUUUCGGGUCGUAAAACUCUGUUGUUAGGGAAGAACAAGUGCUAGUUGAAUAAGCUGGCACCUUGACGGUACCUAACCAGAAAGCCACGGCUAACUACGUGCCAGCAGCCGCGGUAA